rnacentral:rRNA from 1 species
UACGAAGGGGGCUAGCGUUGCUCGGAAUCAUUGGGCGUAAAGGGUGCGUAGGCGGCGCGGUAAGUCGGGUGUGAAAUCUCGGAGCUUAACUCCGAAACUGCAUUCGAUACUGCCGUGCUUGAGGACUGGAGAGGAGACUGGAAUUUACGGUGUAGCGGUGAAAUGCGUAGAUAUCGUAAGGAAGACCAGUGGCGAAGGCGGGUCUCUGGACAGUUCCUGACGCUGAGGCACGAAGGCCGGGGGAGCAAACGGG